CUGAAGGAGAGGCAGAGCUGUGCCCAGCUGGGCAGACCCAGCAAACCCCCUGAAGUUGACCAGUGACAGAGAAACUCAGUCUCCAGGGAUAUGAUCUGGGACAGAACCCCCAACGGCUGAGGACCCUGGGGCAGACAAGGUUUCACACUGCAGCCCAGCCUGGACUGAACUCCCAGCCACGCUCCUGCCUCAGCCUCAGGAGUACUGGACAGGGUCGUGGGCAAGGAGCCACCACACCUCACAAGGCUGUAAAGAUUUGUGGACCAUCUGCUAAGAGGCAAAUGAGGAAGUCGGAGUUCCCCAGGGACAAAAAGGCCCUGUGCAAGGUCCUCACCCUGACGACUGGAAGCCAGCUAUGCACAGGCCUCAGUGCAGAGGUAAAGCCAGGGAUCACGAAUUCACUCACCUACCCCCCCCCACACCCCACCCGUUGUCCAUCUGUCCUUGUACCACCCAUCCCCCUCUCUUUCCGUCUCCCUUCCAUCUCACUCAGACAUAGAUCAAGACAGCAGGACCCAGCUUGUCCCCUCCCACUGCAAUGCUUACUUCCCUCAUGUACUUGAGGAACAAGGCCCAGAGAGGCUGAGUGACUCGGCUAGGUCACACAGCCCCUCGAACAAAGCGAAGUUCUGCCCGUGUGACAAGCAAUCCCAAUUCAAGUUGUUUUUAAGGCGGGGACACAACUGGGAGGUUCCUGUCCCUCUAGGUAACCGAGGGACUAACAAGAGUUGUCCCUGAGAAGCCAGCUGGCCCCAACAAGCGGGCUACUCGCUAGAGCAAGCAGUUUACUCCCAGACAAACAGUUGUGCCGGGUGCUUCUGGGGAGACCUUGUAGCCUGUCUUCCACACGGCUUUGUCCCUGAUGGACUCCCAGGGGAAGGGCCGACAGAAAGGCCGGGCUUCCACUGGCUACGCAGGACAACGGCCUUUGUCAUGUCUCAGCUGCUUGGGGGUUGGAAGCCAGCUUGCGGAACAUCUGGGGGUCCCUCCCCACUUCAGUACCCCGAGCCUGCCCAGCUGAAGCUCCGAGCUUUACCCUUCCAGCUAUGCCAAGGAGACUGGAAAUUUCUACUCAGCAGCUUGGUCUGGCUUGGUUUCCACUCUGCUUGGCGGGGCACGGGGGAGGGGCCGGUCUGCUCAGCUUUAGAACAGGCCCUGCAUUCUUGGAGUUGCAGUCAAGGGUCACUGGGAGUGGGGCCUGUGGGGCCUGGCGAGUCUCUCAGUAAUAAGGAACAAGUGGCCCUGUGCUGAAGGCUCGCCUCUGGUUAGGCCCUGUGCCCUCUGGACCGACUGGGCCUUUAGAAACUUUGUAUCAGGGGACCAGACCUGUUGUUAACAGACUUCAGACUGCUGCAAGGUUCUGGGAGGGCCUGCAGAAGGGCAGAGCCCUGCACCUCUACAGGGAAGGGAAAGGCCACUUGGCUGUACAGAGAUGGGUCUGGCUGGCGACAGGCCAGAAGACACUGCACAGUCACCGGGCUGG